UUCCUUUUCUGUUGGUUUAUCUUUGGAUCUCUCUCCAUGAAGGGUCCUGGCAUCCAUCUUCACAGGGAUACAUACUACCGAGCGAGCAGUUUCUCAAUGCUUGCUCAUUUCUCACCUGUCACUUCUUCCUUAGCUAAACUUACAGUGUAGGGCAAAGAUUGCUGAGCUAGGCAUUUGCCGUACAAUCCAGGGGUUGCCUCAGCUCUCAUUUAUCCUGACAAUGCCACUCAACACAGGGCCUGGCUCAUUUACCCUGUGAAUCUGUCAGCCAUCCCUUAGCUAGACCCAGGUUCCUACCUUCAAAUAUUCAGAGGUGAGCACAGAGCCAGUAGGAACUGCAGAAACCAGGAAGUAAACAGGACCAUUGUCCAAGUCAAAGUUAAGGUAGGGGACUGACGGAGUCCAAUCCCAAUGGAUAUAUCUACAAAACAGUUCUCCUACCUAAGGCUCCAAGAUCAUUGCAGAAGAGGGGCGGAAAGACUGUAAGAGCCAGAGCGUCAGGGAGUUGCUGUGAAACUGCCUCCUAGUAAUGGCAAAAGCUACAUGGACGGUGUACAUCUCACUAACUUGACUGCCUAAGCAAGAACUGAACAAGGCCAAUGGCAGUAGACGCCAAAGUGGACGGUGGAAAGCCUAUAUGAUCGCAACCCUAAACAGAGAACUCUUGGCGACUAGCUGAGGGUGGAGAAAUAGUCUCCCCUAGAGGAGAGCAUGCCAAUCGCUUACCCAAUACUAAAUGGUAAACACUGAAAACGCACACAUCAGUAACAUUAUAUAGACUGAGCAGAUUCUAUAUUCUAUAUGUAGGAGCAUGUGUGCGUGCGUGUGUGUGUGUGUGUGUGUGUGUGUGUGUGUGUGUGUGUGUGUGUGUGUAAAACAAUAGUUAUUGAAGAAAGAACAUGAAUUUGAAGAAGAACAAGGAGGAGCACCUAGGAGGUUUGGAAGGAGGAGGGGGAAGGGAAUAUGGUUUAAUUAUAAUCUCAAAAACUAAGAGAAAUACUUAAAAAAAAAAAACAGCUCUUCUCUCUGGAUUUCUGGUCAUCAAGGCUCUCUUGCACAAACAGCAGCUCUCCAUAAGUCAUACAGAAAACUGUCCUUUUCAAUGUUUUUUGCUUUUUCCCUGGGGGUGACGAUCCUUCACAUUCUCCUGUUUCCCCCAAAGCAGGAACGCCCCUGAAGACUGAGUUAUUAACCAUUGUUUUACACCUAUUCCCAUCCACAAAAACAUAAACCAUCCGCAGCUCCUAUUUGGGCAAGAGAGUAAAGAAAUAAAAUGGAGUCACAAAAGAAGGUUGAAGGGCUAGAAGAUUCAUAUUAAGACAAAUUAAGUUUUGAUAGAUAUUACUUUAAGCAUGAACAAAAGGCAGUACAAUAAUUAUUUUAAACUAAUUAUUCAGAGGAUCCUUUCAGCCUCCCAAAUAUUCAUUUAUUCAUGGGAGCGAUCCCACCCAAGCUCUCCACGGGCCUGCUGAGUCAUUAUCUUUCUGCAAUAUUCUAAUUAGCUCUAUUCAACAAUAAGUUAACUGGCAGAGGGCACUAAUAGGCUCCUUAAUGUAGAAAAAUGGUUUAUAUAAAUUUCAAACUAGUUUCUAAAUUUUUUCUUCUUUCCAAUUGGGAUUCUGGUGACAAGCUACAAUAAAAUCCUCUAAAUGUUA